AGAUGAAUGGUCAAACAUGCGAGAAAAAGUCAACGGCGUCAUCUAUUAAAAAACGGAGGGAGUAACAUAAUAUAAGCAUUUUUAUACUAAUUCUCAUCAUUUUAAUAUUUCGAAACCAAAUCAGAUGCUUCGAGAGCGAAUAGUAUAAAUAAUUGACAACCUAAAAGGACUUAAAAACAUUUUGAUCUAAUCUUAGUAUUUAUUAAAUAACCUAAAAAUAUUUAUACUUAACAACGGAUGGAACGCUAAACGAACUCCUAGGAAAUUAGGUAAAACUCCUGCAUCACGAAAGAGCCUAAAUCUUAAGACACCGUGAACGAGACCACGAUCGCACAAAAUCGUGACGUCGAUGAAUUAACGGUGAAAAAAGACGGCAUGUAGAUCAUCAUUUCUUCACCAUUCAUCUAGCGAAUCUACUUCUAUUUGUCAAACCACUGAUACAGUGAUAUUAGUGCCUUCGUUAUUCAAAACCGAACGACCAAAAUCGUCAUCUUCUUCACACACAAGCACACACGCUGGCAGCCUGGCACACCAAAUCCCUUUUUCUUUUCGCCACUCAUCACACAUGCGCCGCAUCACAGCAAUCACCAGUUGACCCCAUGAGCUGUCCUGCCUUCUCAUCAGUCAUCACACUCUUCCUGGUAGUCUUAGGCCGCGUUCGAUAGCGAGAGAUCGAGGGGAUUUGGUGAAUUGUGCACUGUUCAGCACUGUACAUGUCUGAAUAAUUUACUGCAUAUUAAAUGGCGUUGGUGACUAAACGUGGCACCUGUACAAACGGCACAGACGGCAUUUGGAUGGAUCGAUUCGUCGGCCCAUCCGUCCCCAACCCACCACCAGCGCAAGCAGCCGUGCUCGCUCUCUCUCUCUCCCAUCGAUCCCCUUCUUCCUUCGCCAAAUUUUCUCGGUCGUCGACGGCUCCACGCGCGGUUGCCGUGGCUGGAAUCGUUGUGCCCUACUGCUGAGCGUCGUCCGGUGGUCGUCGUGGUCAGCCUGGGGCUGUUAGGCACGCGGAGAAAUCGACCACUCGUCACGGGAGCUGCUGAAAAGGCGAAUCGAGGCCGGAGAAAGGGGAUUCUCUGGCGGAGCUGCCAUCAAGCCAGGCGGAAGUCGGGGAGCGCUGCCGGUGUUGUCUGCGUCACCUAGCUGCUCAUCAGGCACUGCAGCUUUGGCCGCAUGCGGCUGUACUCGGUGGAGCGCUCUCGGGUGUCACAGUGUCGUCAAGAUUCGGCAGAGUUGGAAGCUAUCUUCUCGCCUCCGGCCUCCUAUUUGAGGCCUCCUUCUCCGGGUGGACAAUGGGCACCAGGGGAACAAAGCGAAAGAGAGGGGAGGACAUCCAUCCGUCGACUGCAGCCAAGGGGCAGGCUGUGCCUUUGGCGUUCGCCGCACCGGCUCCUCACGGACUGCUCAUCAAUCUGGAUUCGGGGACGGGGUCGAGCGCCUCUGGCAAAUCUGACGCCAGCUCUGCCCCUCCUUGUGACAAUGACAUCAAUGUGGCCGCCCGCUUCCUAACAGCCGUUUGUGCGACCUCCCCAGAAGGCGUUCGCUCUUUCGUCCGUCGUGUGUCGCCGGCGACGGUUGUUCGGUCCCUCGAUUUGGACCUGAUCCGGCCCAUCUCGCCACAAAAGAUGGCGGAGGGUAAAAUCCGAUGGAGCGACGAUGAAAUUGGCAUAUUUCUUGAGGCAUGCUUGGAGGAGUUGUCCGCAAUGACCAUAACAUCCACUUGUCCAAAGCCGCAAGGCUACAAGAACCUCAUACAGAAGAUGAAGGAGAGAAUCGGAAGAAACCUCACCAAGGAUCAGGUGAAGUACAUAUGGCGUCAAUGUCGUAAAAGGUGGAUGCUUUGGACGUGGCUGGAAUCAAAGGCUACCGGCAUUGGCCGUGACCCGAUAACUCAAGCCAUUGUUGCUGACGACGAUUGGUGGGAAGACAAGGACCAGAAAAAGGACGGAGCUCGUGUCUUCAAAGAUUCCCCUCUCAAGCACAUCGACCUUCACUGUGCUAUUUUUUCGGGGCGCACAGUGGUAGGGAACCACUCUGCUGUUGCAGGCGCAGCACCAGCACCUCCUCAGCAGCCAACUCCAAGGCCCAACAUCAAUAUCUCACAGCUGCUAGCUCAACAACAAAACAUUGCGACUCCAGGAGUUUCAAGUGCAGAAAAAGGCAAGAGGCCAGCAGAUGAAGCUGGCACUUCGAGUGGAUCGGCUUCAAAGAAGAGUCGAAGUGACUCAGCCGGUGAUGCCCUGCACCGGCUAGCUGAUUUGCGAGUGCAGUCGAUGGAGAGCCGUUCCCGGAAGGUGGAAGAGGACAGGGCUAGAAGUGCAGCAGCUUGCAUCCAGUUGGUGGUAGCUGAUGGACAUAACCCAGGGAGUGAUUUAUUCUUUAUGGCACUGGAUGUAUUUGAGCGUGCUUAUUGGCGUCAAUGGUUCAUUGAUUACUGCCCUACACCCGAGUCACGGUCCCAUUACAUAGUACAGACAUGGCAAAAGCAAUUUGGCGGAAAAGGAGCUGGUGGCCAAGGAGGUGGACAGCCUGGAUACGAAGGAGGAACUGGGCAGCAGCGUUAUGGUGUAGGAGCACCCCCGCCAACUGGCCAGCAGGGUUAUGGUGGAGGAGUACCCCCGCCAACUUGUUCAGGAGGUCAUACAGGGUUUGGAGGUUGGUAGGGGGGUGGCCCUGGUGGAGGUGGGGGUCCUGGUAGCGUAGAUGGUAAUGGGUUCUAUUGAGUUGCUCUUGCUUGGUCAGUUGCCUGGAGCUCACUGAGAGGAGGAGAUUCAUAUGAGAGGCAUAAAAAAUAAUGCUCACCAUACUGUUUGCAGUAGGAUUUUAGCAUCUGCUUUACUCAUUUCUAAUGCUUGUAGUCUGAACUGGUACUUGUGGAAUCACACAAUGAGCGACGGUUCAUCGUGGAGUUCGGAUGGUACUGAAGGGCAAUACACGAGCGAUGAGGAUGACGCUAUUAUUGCAAUGAUGCAAGAGAUUUUAGCUGCUCCUCCAAGAGCUCCUCGUCGUGUCCCAACCCAAUUUGGAAUAACUUGGAUGCUAGAGACAAUGGCGAAUCCUGCACAGUGCCGUGCGAUUUUCCGUUUAACGGAAUAUCAGAUAUACACUCUACAUGGAAAUUAUGGAAAAUGCCCCUUACAACCUGCAUGGGAGUAAUGAUGUAAGUUCUUUGGAGGCACUAGGAAUCUUCUUGUUCACAAUGGCAGGAAAUAAUUCUGCAAGGGAGUCGAACAAUCGUUGGGUCCGGUCGAACUCGACGGUGUCUAUCUAUUUUCGAAGGGUUCUUAGCCGAAUGGUUAUGUUAGGGUCGAAAAUACUCAAGCCAAUUGAUCUGAAUUUUACGGACAUCCCUCGUCGCCUACUACAAGAUAGUCGUUUUGGACCAUUCCAGUUUGCUGUAGGUGCUAUUGACGGCACACACAUUCCGGUCACUGUUGGUGUGGAUAGUGCCAUAGAACACAUGAAUCGCCAUGACGAGACAACAAAAAAUGUCCUAACAAUUGUUGGAUUCGAUGGUAGAGUUAUAUUUGCCGAUGCCGGAUGGCCAGGAUCAGUGCAUGACAAUCGAGUCCUAAACGAAGCUAUUGACUCAUAUCCAGAGGAGUUUCCAAGACUACCUUUUCGAAAAUAUCUUCUUGUUGACUCCGGAUAUCCGAGUAGGAUGGGCUUCCUGGCACCGUACCCACGUGUACGGUACCACAAGGAUCAAUUCAAGGGGCCACGCGCUCCACCGCCAGAAGGAAGGGAAGAGAAGUUCAACUACAUACAUGCCAAGCUGCGUAAUAUAAUUGAGAGGCAAUUUGGAAUUGUGAAAAAACAGUGGAAAAUCUUAAAAGGCAUACCGUACAACCCAUACAAGAAUGUCCAGAGCAACAUAAUAUUGGCAGCGUUUUGUUUGCACAACUUCCGAAUCGACAGCAAGCAAAAUGACUUCCAGGCCAAUAACCCUCUGUAUAAUGGUAAUCCUAUAGCACCAAUGGCACCCCCCUUCUCCAAUAUGUAUUACGCCGGCAAUAGCGCACAAGCGAUGAACGCAUACCGUGAUGCCAUUGCCAAUUCGGUGGAGAACCUGUAGAAGUACAUGAACUAUCUCCUGUACAGUGUACGAGCUUUUUAUUAGAUGUACGAUUUAAUAAGAAAUCCAUUUCGUGAUGGAUAUAUGUAUUAUGUACUGCAUUCAAGUCUUUGGACUGUGCCAACUCGUAUUCAAUAAUUUUUUUCAUUACGUUGCUCAAA